GACGAACCGUGCGAACGUUGUUCGGAAUCACUGGGCUUAAAGGGCGCGUAGGCGGCUUCCCAAGUCCGGGGUGAAAUCUUUCGGCUUAACCGGAAAAGUGCCUUGGAUACUGGGGGGCUCGAGGGGGGCAGGGGCAAGCGGAACUUCCGGUGGAGCGGUGAAAUGCGUUGAUAUCGGAAGGAACGCCGGCGGCGAAAGCGGCUUGCUGGACCCCACCUGACGCUGAGGCGCGAAAGCCAGGGGAGCGAAUGGG
rnacentral:rRNA from 1 species